GUUCGGAUGGCUUAGUGGUCAGAGCAUCUACCUGAUAAGCAGGAGACCCAGGUUUGAACCCUGGUCCGGUACA